UUGGAGAUGAUGCAUCAUAAAACAUCUGACUACCAGUGAUGGUGUUUGUAUUCAUACUGUCUGAUCCAG
ensembl:snoRNA